rnacentral:lncRNA from 1 species
GUAUAUAACAUUGAGAAUGAAGGGUUCCCACAUGCGCCUAAGUUCAGGUCAUCUGUCAUCAUAGAUGAAACCAAGUUCACAUCUAAGUUUACCUUUCCAGAUCGAAGAGCAGCUGAGCAAGAUGUUGCAAAGCUCGCAUAUGAAACCAUAGUUAAAGACAAUAAAACCCUAACAGGAGGCCCUCAUAUUUAUCAGGUACAUCAAAUAUUCACAUGGCUGCAUUUCAUUCACCUUUUGUAGAACGUUCACUUUUCGAAAUACCAAUUUAUGUUUAUGUCAUGUCUAUGGAAAUUGUGCAAUAUAUCAUUUUCAGAUGACACCUUGUGCUUUCCUUCUCUCACCUGUUUUUUCUUAAGAACCUGAGGUUUUGCAAGUUAAUACUGUAUGAAUAUGCAACCAAGACUGGCCUUGGAGUUCCCGAAUACAACACCACCUUAGCAGAAGGGCCACCACGCCCAGUAUUCAUCUCUUCUUUUGUUCUUGGUGGCAAAAGUUAUAGUGGUCAAGUAGGUCGAAGCAAGAAAGAGGCGGAACAGCUGGUGGCACGACUGGCAUCCAAUCGCUCCUUGGUACAGUCAUAAACUUCUAUUCUGCUUUGUCGAAUUAAGUUUCUACCAGUAAUGCUCCUUCAAUUUAUCCUACUUAGAAACUGUCUGUCAAGGAUCGGAUUCAGGGAAGCUCACUGAAAUUAUCAAGAGCAAGGAGAGACUUUUCGCUACUCUAAGUGCUAAAAAGAACUCUGGAAGUCAAGGAACUAAAACUCUCUCUGUUCAUCAGUCGAGUAAUGCAGGUCUGUAAUCCAUUAAUCAUACGUGUGACAUAAAACUUAAUUUGGAAACUAAUAAUUAUGGUACUAAAGUUUGUAUUAUAUUCUCAUUGUCAGGAAAUUUGUCACAACAGCAAGCUAGCAUUCAGGUAACAAUUCACCUUGUGUCUCUAAUAAAAAUCAUACCCUUCAACGAUAAAGGAAUAAGUGAACAUAUAUCAAGUUAAUAUGCUCACAUAAACACAGGGAAGAGGUUGUAUAAAAAAGGCAGCUCAUAUUUUAAGCCAUUAUAUUUCAUAUGUUCUCCAGUCCUUUCUUACACCUAUUUGAGUGGACCGCUCACUUUAUUCUUUGUUGCAGACUGGGAUUAUCAGUUAUAACCCUGAUCGUUGCACAGUUACUUGUGCGAAAGGUUGGACAAAGCGCAAGGUUGAGAACAACUGGGAGCAGAAAAAGAAAAAAGGCCGUGUGGGAGUAGCUGUCAAACGACCUGGAUAUAACUUCAGGCCUUGAACACUGCUCUUCAGCCAACAAUUGUGCCUAAAACAGAAUAUAAUUUUCUCUUGGUAGUGGUGAGGCUUCUCCUUCAGAGACAUUGGCUUAUGUGAAGGAGAGGUCUAUUGAAAAUAGUUUAUGCAGAAUACUGCUCCUGCAUGCUCUUUUUGGUUGGUAUUUGCCGCGUUUGCAACUGUAAAAUGCCUAACAUUAACAAGACGUUAUUUCGAUGGAUAGUGUUUUAAAGCAAAAGUUCUUUGGCAUGUGUUUUGAUGAUUGUUGAUUACGUCUUAAUUCUUAAAUUUCACUAUUUGCAAGAAAUCAUGGGCUUUAUCCUGUCUGAAAUUAAUAGAUCUUCCACUGCUAGAAGACAUUCCUCGUAUGAAUAUAUGAUUCACAUUGUGGCAAAGUCUGAACAAUUAACUAUGGGCAAAAUGGGUGUCUAAAAGUUUCUUGAUUGACCUUCAGAUUGAAUUGAGGUCCACCCCUAACCCCACUUCAUCUUUACAAGUCCGUGGACCCCUGUGUGUCUGUGUGGGGGGGGGGUGUCAGAAACAAGCCCUUGUCUUUUAAUCUGUCGUCAAUUUUCUAUUUCUAAAUUUGUCCAACUUGAUCAAAACAUUUUGAUCUGCUGUCGAAGGAGCUAUGAAUGAUGCCUUCUGGGAUAUCAAGGAUCAAAUGACUGUUAGAUGUACACGCUGCUAAAUAUAUCACCUGAUUUCAAGUAUGAAAUUGGAGUAUAAAUCCAUUGAGAGGUGAUAAUUGGCAUGAUUACAAGAAUAUUGCUGUUUUUUUUCUCUGUUUUAAACCAACGUCGAUUUUUAGAAAAUUUAAUUCGCAUGAUGCUAAUUAUACUUAGUUUUUAAAACUGAAUGCAGCAGAAGUCGAUCUCCUGGAAAUGGACUUCUCUACUACUUUCGUUUUUUUUCCCCCUUCUUCUUCUUUUUCAGCCCCAACUUAGUCAAAUGCAGCCAAUGGCUUGAAAUCUCAGUCACGAGUCCAAUUUUAAUGGUCAUGAGAUCUUCACAACACUCUACUCUACCAAAGAUUCCACGGUUUUAUUGAGGGAAGAAAAAGUUAACUCACACUGGCAACAAUGCUGGUGGGAAUAAGUCUUGCCGUCAAUUGGAGCAGGUCUACGUAUUAGGCUACUGCUUUUCUUUGAUCCUUUUCCCUUGAUGCUAUUGCUUUUACUGGAUAGAGUUUGUAGAGUGUAAUAGCCUGUCUAGUAAUAGCCAGUAGUUUUCUAAACUCAAAUAUGACUGUGUCUAAUUAAAAUAGUUAUGUUGUAACUAUUCAACAAGUAUUGUUUUUAUGUUUUUCCCCAAUAAAGAUUUGUUCUUGAAAAAGAUAGUUAGCAGUUGAUUAGUAAAAAAAAAAAUUACAUGUUUUUUCUAUUGGUUUUUCUUUUUUCCUUCCCUUAAAUUAAACUUCAAAAGGAACUUAGCACGAAUUUGAAGUGCAAGCAAGAGCAAAACAAGAAUAUUUGACACAACUUUUAACUACAAAGAAUAAGAAUAAACGUACUCUUUCUUAGAAUACUCGGUUUAUGCCAUUGAAAAAUUCUUAGUCAUUAUUUGAGGAUAUGAGAUGCCGACACCUUUUGAAAUUGGAAGGUCAUUGCUAAAUAUGAUGUCCUGUCUUACUUUUAUUUUUUAGAAUCGAUUAAGAUGCUUCGUCCAAUUUGAUGCUUUAAUGAAGGAAUUGAACUUUGUGCAAAAAGUCACCCUACCGAUGCUACAGGAAAUGAUCACCAGGUGGCGUAAUUUUACAAGAACUUCCUAUUCCACCCAAAUCAGUCUGUGAUACGUCCUUGUGAAUGUCCUAGAAACAUAACAGAACGCACAAAAUUCUCCUAGAAAGAAACCAAGAUAUAUUGAACAAUGUACUUUGAAAGAAUAGGAAAAGAAGCAAAGAAAAGGAGAAAAAUAAAAGAAAUAAAAAACAUGAAAGAACAAAAAAGCAUCUUAGCCUGAUAAGCAAGGAAUAAAAGAACCAAAGCACUUGACACACAUUAGCAUAAAGCGCCGUUUCUGUUCUCAUCCCCAACCAUGUUCUUUCCUUGGAGCAAAAUGGCUAACAAAUUCCCCAUCUGUUCUGUCUGCACUUCUUGGGUGCAGGAGCCAAAACCUGAGGAUCAUCUUGGGUUGCCAUUGGAACCAUCCAAACCUGAACAUGGUUCGCAUUCUCACGUUCCCACUAUUAAUCUCCUCCACUAUGCAUGUGCUUUCCUCAUUACUCCUUCAUUUAUUUAAUCUCUACUACCAUUUCCUUCUCCUUUCCAUUGACUUCUCAAGAUUUUAGAUAAGUUUCCACGAACAUAUUUUUGUAACCAUGAUUGUUGCAUACAGGGCUUACAAAAAUAAAGCUAGCCAUGGAAAAUGGCAUUUGUAUUGCUUGCGCAUUUAGCUCAUAUUCAUUUCUGUAUGAUCUUUGUAGAAGGAUGUAAAUCAACCUAACAUCAUGAACUGUGAGCUUCAACGUCAUAGCAAGACUUUAUAGUUUGACAGAGUUUUUACUGCUGGCAGAUUAUGGUAUGUACAAGAAGCUGUUGCACCAGUAUGCCCAAAAAUCUGGAUUACCACUUCCAGUUUAUAAAAUUGAGAAUGAAGGGUUCCCACAUGCGCCUAAGUUCAGAUCAUCUGUCUUCAUAGAUGAAACCAAGUUCACAUCUAAGUUUACCUUUCCAGAUCGAAGAGCAGCUGAGCAAGAUGUCGCAAAGCUUGCAUAUGAAACCAUAGUUAAAGACAAUAAAACCCUAACAGGAGGCCCUCAUAUUUAUCAGGUGCAUCAAAUAUUUACAUGGCUGCAUUUCAUUCACCUUUUGUAGAACGUUCACUUUUCAAAAUACCAAUUUAUGUUUAUGUCAUGUCUACGGAAAUUGUGCAAUAUAUCAUUUUCAGAUGACACCUUGUGCUUUCC